UACAGAGGGUGCGAGCGUUAAUCGGAAUUACCGGGCGUAAAGCGCGCGUAGGCGGCUUUUCAAGUCGAUUGUGAAAUCCCCGGGCUUAACCUGGGAACUGCAGUCGAGACUGUCUAGCUAGAGUAUGGGAGAGGGAAGUGGAAUUUCAGGUGUAGCGGUGAAAUGCGUAGAUAUCUGAAGGAACAUCAGUGGCGAAAGCGACUUCCUGGACCAAUACUGACGCUCAUGUGCGAAAGCGUGGGGAGCAAACAGG
rnacentral:rRNA from 1 species